UUUUCUAAAGGUCUCUGGCUUACUAUGCUCUCAUUUGAACUUGAAAUUCAGAAGGAAGGAAAGCCUUCCCAUUUCAGCAGGAGUUGCUGCAAACCUGCUAAUCAAAAUCAGUCAUUUUUUAAAUUAUAAGUGAAAGUUUAAACCAGACAGAGAAUUUUCACUUGCAAUAAGGAUUUUCAAACUUAAAUGUAUCUUCUGUUUUUAAAAUAUACUUUUUGCCUAUUAAAACAUGGUUCAGUUCUCCUCCAAGUAUAACAAAAAGAGGCCAUGGUACAAUCCGAGCCCCCUCUUUUAUUCUGUGUUUUGUAGCUAAAGGUCUUCAAUAAAAUUCCCCAGAGCUAAAAACAUAAAACUGUAAAUUAGUUUGAGAAUUCUUCAUUUAACUAUUAGAUUCAGCAAGAUUGUUUAGCUGAUUCCCCCCAUUCCAUGCAUUUCAUGAAUUAAAAAUAGACCCCUGCCACUGACCUAUUACCAGCACCAUGUCUGUCUAUAUCUCUCUCUCUCUUUCUCACACUCUCACUCAUUCUAUCUCUCUAAAGAAUGACUUUCUCUGGUAAAGAUGAUAUGAUCUAUCCUGAUCUGAGGGAAGUGAUUCCCAGAAAUCUGUGGUCAUAAGGUCCUAAAAACACAGUAUGGCUUUAGCUGGAGAGUCACGCUGUCCUCUUAUGAUUUUUAGGGACGUUCUUGCAUCAGGGCAAGAAUAAACACAGAGAAUCACUUCCUAAUCUAGUGCACACAUUUUUUUUGGUCCAUGUCCCAGACAACUGCUUAGUCCACGUUCCCAGGAGAAGCACCUCUCUCACAGUAUGUUUGUACAGACCAAAUUUGCUUCUCACGAGGCAAUGCAACCUUAUUUGGAUGCCCUGUUCAUUUCUUCAUAUUUAAGAAAAGGUUCAAAUUUCCAAGUGACAUGGGCAGAGAUCUCUUUCUCUUAAUAGGAUCCCAUUUCUGAAUCACCUCUUGAUUCCUUGGAGAAGAAAAUCUGUGAGAGCUAAACAUACUCCUGACUCUGCAAAUUGCAUCCUGUUUUGUAUUUAUUUCCUUUUCCUUAAAUUUGCAGGAAGAAAUAUAAGGUUUUUAAAGAUACCGAUGACUUUUCCUCCUUUGAGCUGCUAUGUCAGAAAUCCUUAGAACAUGUACCACUACAUCAUACACAAACUAUGGCCAUGUCUUAAAUUAUCCAAAAAGUUCUUAUGACCUUCCUUUGGUAUUCUGUUGUGAAAAUAAAUAAGUAAAUACAAAGAUACAUGUUCUGUCUCACAGGACUUUUGCAAACUGCGAGGAUGUAUCUUACAUUUAAAUUUUGGUAAUUUUUUUUUUCUGUGCAUCUCUUUCAAGUCAUUUCUUUCAAGUAAAAUCCUGUUUUUGUUCCAGCACGGUCCUAGUUGGAAAGAUAAAGAGAAAAAAAGGAAUUUUUUUUUUUUUUUUUGGAAAAGAAAAUUGAAAUUCUAUCUAUCUCUUAAACUGCUCCUACCAUGUUUUAAGAGGGUCUGUUCUGAUCAGCACACCAAGUAUUUCUAAUGCAUUAGGGAGGAAAUGACCAUUAUGUCUGGUCAUUUCUCUGAAGCUUGCUGCCGAGGAUGCAAGAUAGACAUGUCAUCCACCCUUAGCCAUAUUCUCCAGCUCCCUUCGGUCCGGAUUGUGAAUAGAGUUGCUAUAAACAUAUGGAGGAAAGCUUAUGAAAGUAAAUCUGAGUCUGACUCAUAACAAUGUCCCUACAGUCCUAUGGAGGAUACGUUUCAUCACUGGCCCUUGCAUCUGGAACUGGUCUUUUCAAAUGUGGAAUAGCAGUGGCUCCAGUCUCCAGCUGGGAAUAUUACGCAUCUGUCUACACAGAGAGAUUCAUGGGUCUCCCAACAAAGGAUGAUAAUCUUGAGCACUAUAAAAAUUCAACUGUGAUGGCAAGAGCAGAAUAUUUCAGAAAUGUAGACUAUCUUCUCAUCCACGGAACAGCAGAUGAUAAUGUGCACUUUCAAAACUCAGCACAGAUUGCUAAAGCUCUGGUUAAUGCACAAGUGGAUUUCCAGGCAAUGUGGUACUCUGACCAGAACCAUGGCUUAUCCGGCCUGUCCACGAACCACUUAUACACCCACAUGACCCACUUCCUAAAGCAGUGUUUCUCUUUGUCAGACUAAAAAUGAUGCAGAUGCAAGCCUGUAUCAGAAUCUGAAAACUUUAUAUAAAUCCCUCAGACCGUUUGCUUGUUUUAUUUUUUAUGUUGCAAAAUGCUGAUAUAAACAAACAAAUGAAUGUUGUUCUAAACUCAUUCUUGACUCAGAAGUUCAAGCUAAAUAUUGUUUACAUUUUCUGGUACUCUGUGAAAGAAGAGAAAAGGGAGUCAUGCAUUUUGCUUUGGACACAGUGUUUUAUCACCUGUUCAUUUGAAGAAAAAUAAUAAAGUCAGAAGUUCAAGUGCU
rnacentral:sRNA from 1 species